rnacentral:lncRNA from 1 species
UUAACUUAACAAGCUGACGAUCACUGGUUCAGUUUCGACCCCGUUUGGUCACUGAAAACUGUACCGAACUGCAAUCUUUAUCAGAUAGCUUUCGGAUUUUAUUUCUCACUCUAUGGGUGUCAGAAAAAUAUGAAACCUUAAAUCUAGCCUCAUAAAAAUAUUUCUGACAUUUCCGCCAAUUUUCAUAAUUUUCUGAGACUGUGCAUUUUCUGCUUAUUUUUCUGUCCCGUCUCCAACAGAAAAUUCUAGAUCUUCUGUUUUAAUUCCGAUUUCAGCACAGGUCACUUCUGACUUAUAUUUUACCUCUAUAAAUCUAAUAAAAAUAGUUUCUCACACUAUUUUUAUUUAUUAUUAUUUUUAUACCAAAAUCUGGUAUAUUACAUUUAUAAUAUCUUAUUCUCAUUAUAAUGAUUUUUAGAGUAAAAGCCUUAAUUUAUAUGAAAUUUAAUUUAAUUUGAUGGUUUUUUAAAGUAAAUUUUUCGAAAUCUGGGGAUGUGUACCGAUACACAAUCCCGUGUACCGGUACGGGUACUGUAGCCGCGGAAAUAUAAUCGGUUACAGGGCUUUAUUUCUCACUCAAAUCAAAACCAAAUUUCGCUUUUUCUCUCUCUAAAAAUCCCUGGUACCUUCCUCUUCCAGAUCUACACGAUUUUCCUCAGAAAUUU